rnacentral:rRNA from 1 species
GACGAACGCUGGCGGCGUGCCUAAUACAUGCAAGUAGAACGCAGUUGUGAAUGGGUGAGUAACGCGCUGGCAAUUGCCUGGUAUCGGGGGAUAACAAUAGGAAUCGAUAGGUAAUACCGUAUAUUAACAGACGGACUAGUGUUGUAUUGGCUAGUUGGUGAGGUAACGGCUCACCAAGGCAAAGAUACAUAGCCGACCUGGUAGGGUGAUCGGCCACACUGGGACUGAGACACGGCCCAGACUCCUACGGGAGGCAGCAGUAGGGAAUCUUCGGCAAUGGAGGGAACCCUGACCGAGCAACGCCGCGUGAGUGAAGAAGGUUUUCGGAUCGUAAAGCUCUGUUGUUAGAGAAGCGGUACUUAACCAGAAAGGGACGGCUAACUACGUGCCAGCAGCCGCGGUAAUAC